UGGUUGCCUGUGUUGAUGGCUGUUCUGCAUGUACCAAGCACUGUGUUGAUGGCUUUACAUUGCUGUUAUCACAAAUACUUCCUCACUGCCUACCUUGCACCGGGCAAGGUUUAUUACCGAGGACACAGCUGUGAACAAGGUUUCUCACAAGAACCUCUCCUUGCAAAAACUAACCUGAAGCCCCUGAAAGAAGGAUCCUUGGAAACACAGAUCCUGCCCCUGCAAAGCCACUUUAGCUGGACAUGGAUGCAAAGAGAGCCCCAGACAUUCUGCGCGCAUGGUGUGUGGUUCACAGCACAUCUUGGACAUUAUUCCAAAUAGAGUCAUCCUCUUUU
rnacentral:lncRNA from 1 species